AACGCAUAUUGCACCUUCUAGCAUUCUGGAAGGUAUGCCUGUUCGAGCGUCAUUGCAACCUCAAGCACUGCUUGGUAUUGGGUGUCACCCUCCUGGUGCACCUCAAAAGUAGUAGCGGCAGCAUUCAGCCCCGAGUAGAGUAAUUUUCUUGCUUGCGAGGCUUGGAUGUAGGCUUGCUUAAAACACCCCAAAAGUUUGACCUCGGAUCAGGUAGGGAUACCCGCUGAACUUAA
rnacentral:misc_RNA from 1 species